CAAAAGAAUGCCUGCAAUAGAAAGACUUGGGUCCUCGAAACUUCUCGCAGGCCCUCCCUGAGCUUUGGGCUCCCUGCUGUGGGGGUCAGGCCUGAGGUGAGAAGAUGGCUGUACAGGUAAGUGCUCCCCCCUCACUCAGCCCUCUUCCAUCUUCCCCCCUCUUCCUGUGGUCCUGGGGUCAAUCCUGACAUGUCUCUGGACCUAGUCCCCUCUUUUCCUGCCAACGUCAGGAUGCUCACCAGCCAAUUGCAGCAGAGAGAACUUGAGGGCCCAGCUUUAGCUGGGCCUGUCCAGGAGCCUUCUGCCCAACACCCUGCUUGAGCCCCGCAGCCAGGCCCUGUGGGAUGUUACCCCAGUUACCUAGACAACCGCAUUGAGUCUUUUUCCCCUCACUCCCCAGCCACUGCCUAACCAGCUGGGGUUUUCUGGCCACCAUUCAUUGGCCUAGGGUGGGAACCCAUUGUCCCCUUACCUGUCCUCCCAACGCUGCAAGCUUAUUUCAGGUUCCCCCUCCCCUGCCAUCUCAUCCUCUGAACCCCACAGGGGCUCUGGUCUCUAAACAGCGACUCUGCGCUCCAUACAGGCAGGAACACAACUGCCUCACAAUAAACGUGUGUUGCAAAAAAAUGAA